UGCCACUGAUGACAUUUAUUUGGCUACUCUUGGACCAUAAGAUGAUGAGAGUAAAUAACACCAUUAUCAUAACUGAGGCA
rnacentral:snoRNA from 1 species